rnacentral:tRNA from 1 species
GCCGCCUUAGCUCAGUCGGCCAGAGCAACGCACUCGUAAUGCGUAGGUCGUCGGUUCGAUUCCGACAGGCGGCUCCA